GCGGGACUUCCGGCCGCCACCCCAGCCGGUCGCCAUGGAGACGCACCUUCCCUGUGGUCGCCGGGGUCCGGGCGGGAGGAGGGUCGGGGCUGCGCGGGGGCGGGUCCCGGGCACCGUGAGCGGGGUGUCCCCGCGGGUCGGGGUCUCGGGAGGAGGAGAGCGGGUGGGUCCCCGGGUGCCCUGCGCGGGUCCGUGGGGCGGAGUGGACGCCACUCAGGUUCCAGGCCCAGGCAGCCCAGGCCGUAGCUGGCUUGCUUUGCUGUGUGUCACCGAGUGGACUCCCUUUGGGGGCGCCUGCAGCAGUUUGUGAGGUGGGUGGCACGGGGCUCGGUUCCCACCUUUGCCUCCUCACUUCGAGCAAGGCUCAUGCCGCCUGCCCAGGGCCCCCGGGGAGGGGAGAGCUCGCUGGAGCAGGAGCCCGGUUUGCUCCCGCCCUCUCCAGGUGAGGCUGGUGGCAAGUGUAACGCCGGGAGCACAGCCGUUACAGUGUAGCCGGGGUCUGCUCCCAGAAGCGGGGAGUUGAGAGCGCUUCCUGCUCGCAGACUCAGAUGGGACCCAGUGCCCGGGACCUCGGGCUGGAGGCAAAGAAGGCGAGAUGCUGAGGGUGUGGGUGUCGGGGUGCAAGGUUGUGGGUUUUGUUGAAGGGACCAGAGAGUGCUGCCUGGGCCCCCCGCGCUCCCCUUUGUAAGGCAGAAAGGGAGGGGGCGCUUACACGGAAGGUGCACGGAGCUGGGCCCCAUCCGCAGGCACAGGGCCCACCGUGGUGUCCUUGAUAACCAAGGGCCCCGAGCCGCGUGAGCCUCCAGGAAGCCCCUGCCCGCCUGUGGGAGCCCCCAAGAGGGCAGGUCCCAGCCAGCUCUGCACGGUCAGCAUGGACACCCGCUCUGAGGGACAACGAGGGGGGCCCAGCGGCAAGUGAGGCUGGAGGGCGACCUGGGAGGACAGGCCAGCCACCGCCCCCUCGGCUCCCUCCAGACCCAGCCACCUGGGGUCCGCACCGCCGCCAGGGGGCGCUGUUGGCCUCAUGGUGUGGGAGAGCAGAUUCCCCACAAGGAAGCCAGCAGAGCUGAAAAGGUGGGUGGUGGAGGGAGGGGUCAUGCUGACCGCAGGCGGUUCUGCCCGGAUGGGCCCAGGAUUCUGAGGGUCCCACAGGUGAGGAUGGAGUCCAGAGCAAGAGCCCACGGGGAAGAGUGGCCGCUGUGGCCCCGUCCCGAGGAAUCUCCUAGGACCCUGCCCAAUCAGAGCAAGCGCCUGGGUGUCCCCCGCAGCCAGCCCUCACUAGAAGGGCGGCCUCUGUGGCGGUCCGGAGCCGGAACCUUCCUCCGAGGACUGAGAGGCUGGCCUGGCUGUGCUCCUGCCCUGUCCCUUCUUUCGGGAGGGGGAGCGUGGACCUCCCCGCCUGCAGCCUGGGGUCCGGUUGAGCGCUGGCGCCAGUCGUCCAGACGGCUGAUCUUGGAAAUGUCUCCUGAUUUCACCUGGAAACGUUGUGCCCCUACAGGGGGCCCGAGCCCUGCCGGGGGGCUGCACAGGCCUGCUGACAGCCUCAGCCUGAACCGCAGCCCCGGGGGGCUCCUCCUCCUGUGUUUGCCACAAGGAGGGCCAGGGCUGCCCCCUCCCUCUGAUGCCGCAUUGGGCUCCCCAUUGUCCAACCCAGGGAGUUCCGUGCACACUGCCAGUCUCUGGGGCUGAAUGGCUCCUGCCAGGGCUGGGAGGGAAUCUCGGUGGCUGCCCUGUGGUGUCGAGAGGCCUCUGCUGCCUUCAGCAGAGAGAGGUGUUGGAGCCUGAGAAGCGAGGAGGGGCCCUGGACUGUGGCCCCAGGGCUCAGCCCCCAUGGCCCCCACAGUUGCUGCAGGGCGUGGCCACUCCGGCCAGCUGGCCGCGGGCCUCUUGGGCCUGCAGCCCCUCUCAGCUUUCCUUGGACUGGCACCGUGACGCCGGGGACACUCGGGUGCCCGUCACGGCCCUGCCAAGGAGGAGCAGGACGGGUGGGUGCCCUGGUGUCGGGGACGGAGUCGGAGGUCAGGGCCGCUGUCCCAGGAGUCAGGCGGCCGUGCACACAAUGUCCAAAUGGCACCCCAAGCCACAGCUCCCAGCUGCAGGCCCUCGGCCCCUCGUGCUGGCCCUCGGCUGCAGCAGGCCCUCCGGGAGACGAAGGAGCCGUGCCUGCCGGUAGCUGCAGCACAGAGCCGCAUGCCCACGACUCAGAAGCGCGUGAGCUUCGCCCAGCUGGCACCCCCUCUGCGGUGGGACGUGGCCUGGGGGUGGGGUGGGGCGCCCUCAGGCCUGUCCUGCACCUGGGACCCCUGGGGCUCUCUCAGCCACUGGGCAACGUGGUGUCGGCCAUGACCUUGGCCAAGGGGCUUGCUCUCCAUUCUGCUGCCCUCUCCCAUGGCUUGGGUUUAUUGUAUCUGAGUCAAUUUCUUUCAGUGGAUUUCCUUGGUGGAUUUGAUCCAGUUUCUCUCUACCAUGACCACGGAAAGCCCCCGGCCGCUCAUCCAGGCAGGCGAACUUGUGUGAGCGUGGCCUGCAGCACGGACACUGCACGAGGCCUUGGGGGCCUCCCGGGUGGCCUUCCAUCCACCCGUCUGUCCGUCCCUCUGUCCACCAUCCACCUUCCCUCCCGCCCUUUCUCAGGCCAACUUCCUGCCCCUCCAGUGGCCCUGGGGCUGUACCGGUGCAGCCGGCGUGCUGCAGGCUCCCUGCUCUCUGUCCAUAAGUGAAGGCCCCCGCAUACUCAUGGCCAGCCCAAGGGCCACCGCUGAGGCCUGCCACAGCAAAUCCAGACCUGGGGAGGGGAGGGGCCUGCACGGCCCCGGCCAGGGCAGGCAUCAGUCGCCUGCCCCCACCCUGGUGGGCAGAGCUGGCCAGACCUCAGGCUUGAUCAUAUCUGCAGUGGGGGCUGGGCGGUCGGAGGGGCCCAGGGUGAGACCCUUCCCCGGCUGCCAGUGGCCCAGACCCCACUCCGAUGGUUGUGGUCCUGCAGACAAGACCUCUGCCCACCCGGGUCCAGCCCUCACUUGGCAGAAAGCCCAAGUUCUCUCCUUCCUUCCCCAGCCCAGGGCCUCUCUGACCCUACUCUGUCCCCACAGGCCUGUGGGGUGACCGCCAUCCUCAACAACGAUGAGAGGACCCAGGCGUGAGGACACAGCUCACCUCUGGGGACACGGCUCACCUCUGGGGACACGGCUCACCUCCAGGGGGACACGGCUGACCUCCCUGGGGGCAUGACUAACCUCCAUGGGGACACGGCUGACCUCUGGGGACACGGCUGACCUCCAAGGGGACACGGCUGACCUCUGGGGACACGGCUGACCUCCAAGGGGACACGGCUCACCUCCAAGGGGACAUGGCUGACCUCUGGGGACACGGCUGACCUCCAGGGGGACACGGCUGACCUCUGGGGACACGGCUGACCUCCAAGGGGACACGGCUGACCUCCAUGGGGACAUGGCUGACCUCUGGGGACACGGCUGACCUCCCUGGGGGCACAGCUCACCUCCAAGGGGACACGGCUGACCUCCCUGGGGGCACAGCUCACCUCCAGGGGGACACGGCUGACCUCCCUGGGGACAAGACUGACCUCCCUGGGGACAUGGCUCACCUCUGGGGACACGGCUGACCUCCAUGGGGACACGGCUGACCUCCCUGGGGGCACGGCUGACCUCCUUGGGAACAUGGCUGACCUCCCUGGGGACACGGCUGACCUCCAUGGGGGCACAGCUGACCUCCAGGGGACAUGGCUGACCUCCAUGGGGACACGGCUGACCUCCUUGGGAACAUGGCUGACCUCCAUGGGGACACGGCUGACCUCCCUGGCUGGAGGCACCUGCCCAGCUUGCAGUGUCUGGACACGAGGGGCAGUGGGGUAGGGCAGCGCUGGGGGCAGCUGCAAGAUCAUGAUUUUCUUUUUCCAAAAAGAAAAGGGAGAGAAGGCGAGAGAUGAGAAGCGCUCCCCCGGCAGGGCAGGCCCCACAGCAGGUCCAUGGCGCCCGGGAGGCCAGUGGCCCUGCAGACUGCUGCUGGGGCUUGGCUGCUUCACUUCCAGUCCAGUUCUCUGCUGUGGCCUGGGAAAGCAGAAGAUGGCAUAAGGCCUUGGACCACUGCACCCACGUGGGAGACCUGGAAGAAGCUCCUGGCUCCUGUCUUCAGAUCGGCACAGCUCCGGCCGUUGCAGCCAAUUGGGGAGUGAACCAUCGGAUGGAAGACCUCUCUCUCUCUCUCUUUCUCUCUCUCUCUCUCUCUCUGUGUGUAAUUCUGACUUUCAAAUAAAUAAAACCUUUUUUUAAAAUUUAAAAAUUUUUUUAAAUUUAAUUUAAAAAUUUUUUUAAAUUUAUUUUACAGGUAGAGUUAGAGACAGUGAGAGAGAGAGACAGAGAGAAAGGUCUUCCUUCUGAUGGUUCACUCCCCAAAUGGCCGCCAUGGCCAGCGCUGCGCUGAUGCGAAGCCAGGAGCCAGGAGCUUCCUCCUGGUCUCCCAUGGGGUGCAGGGCCCAAGCACCUGGGCCAUCCUCCACUGCACUCCCGGCCACAGCAGAGAGCUGGCCUGGAAGAGGACAACCGGGACUAGAACCUGGCGCCCAUAUGGGAUGCCGGUGCUGCAGGGGGAGGAUUAACCAAAUGAGCCAAAGUGCCGGCACCAAAUAAAAUCUUUU